rnacentral:rRNA from 1 species
GGUUGCGAUCAUAACAUCACUAAUGCACCGGAUCCCAUCAGAACUCCAAAGUUAAGCGUGCUUGGGCGAGAGUAGUACUAGGAUGGGUGACCCCCUGGGAAGUCCUCGUGUUGCAACCU